rnacentral:rRNA from 2 species
CGAGGGGCAUCAGGGUGUAGCAAUACGCCGCUGGCGACCGGCGCACGGGUGAGUAACACGUAUCCAACCUGCCCUUUACUCGGGGAUAGCCUUUCGAAAGAAAGAUUAAUACCCGAUGGUAUAACAUGACCUCCUGGUUUUGUUAUUAAAGAAUUUCGGUAGAGGAUGGGGAUGCGUUCCAUUAGGCAGUUGGCGGGGUAACGGCCCACCAAACCUUCGAUGGAUAGGGGUUCUGAGAGGAAGGUCCCCCACAUUGGAACUGAGACACGGUCCAAACUCCUACGGGAGGCAGCAGUGAGGAAUAUUGGUCAAUGGGCGAGAGCCUGAACCAGCCAAGUAGCGUGAAGGAUGACCGCCCUAUGGGUUGUAAACUUCUUUUAUAUGGGAAUAAAGUCUGCCACGUGUGGCAUUUUGUAUGUACCAUAUGAAUAAGGAUCGGCUAACUCCGUGCCAGCAGCCGCGGUAAUACGGAGGAUCCGAGCGUUAUCCGGAUUUAUUGGGUUUAAAGGGAGCGUAGGUGGACAUGUAAGUCAGUUGUGAAAGUUUGCGGCUCAACCGUAAAAUUGCAGUUGAUACUGCGUGUCUUGAGUACAGUAGAGGUGGGCGGAAUUCGUGGUGUAGCGGUGAAAUGCUUAGAUAUCACGAAGAACUCCGAUUGCGAAGGCAGCUCACUGGACUGCAACUGACACUGAUGCUCGAAAGUGUGGGUAUCAAACAGGAUUAGAUACCCUGGUAGUCCACACAGUAAACGAUGAAUACUCGCUGUUUGCGAUAUACAGUAAGCGGCCAAGCGAAAGCAUUAAGUAUUCCACCUGGGGAGUACGCCGGCAACGGUGAAACUCAAAGGAAUUGACGGGGGCCCGCACAAGCGGAGGAACAUGUGGUUUAAUUCGAUGAUACGCGAGGAACCUUACCCGGGCUUAAAUUGCAAAUGAAUAUGCCGGNANCGGCAUAGCCGCAAGGCAUUUG